GGGUAGGGGAGCGUUCUGUAAGCCUGUGAAGGUGUGUCGUGAGGCAUGCUGGAGGUAUCAGAAGUGCGAAUGCUGACAUAAGUAACGAUAAAGCGGGUGAAAAGCCCGCUCGCCGGAAGACCAAGGGUUCCUGUCCAACGUUAAUCGGGGCAGGGUGAGUCGACCCCUAAGGCGAGGCCGAAAGGCGUAGUCGAUGGGAAACGGGUUAAUAUUCCCGUACUUGGUGUUACUGCGAAGGGGGGACGGAGAAGGCUAUGUUGGCCGGGCGACGGUUGUCCCGGUUUAAGCGUGUAGGUGUGUGUUCCAGGUAAAUCCGGUUCACUUUAACACUGAGGCGUGACGACGAGGCACUACGGUGCUGAAGCAACAAAUGCCCUGCUUCCAGGAAAAGCCUCUAAGCAUCAGGUAACAUCAAAUCGUACCCCAAACCGACACAGGUGGUCAGGUAGAGAAUACCAAGGCGCUUGAGAGAACUCGGGUGAAGGAACUAGGCAAAAUGGUGCCGUAACUUCGGGAGAAGGCACGCUGACACGUAGGUGAAGUGAUUUACUCAUGGAGCUGAAGUCAGUCGAAGAUACCAGCUGGCUGCAACUGUUUAUUAAAAACACAGCACUGUGCAAACACGAAAGUGGACGUAUACGGUGUGACGCCUGCCCGGUGCCGGAAGGUUAAUUGAUGGGGUCAGCGCAAGCGAAGCUCCUGAUCGAAGCCCCGGUAAACGGCGGCCGUAACUAUAACGGUCCUAAGGUAGCGAAAUUCCUUGUCGGGUAAGUUCCGACCUGCACGAAUGGCGUAAUGAUGGCCAGGCUGUCUCCACCCGAGACUCAGUGAAAUUGAACUCGCUGUGAAGAUGCAGUGUACCCGCGGCAAGACGGAAAGACCCCGUGAACCUUUACUAUAGCUUGACACUGAACAUUGAGCCUUGAUGUGUAGGAUAGGUGGGAGGCUUUGAAGUGUGGACGCCAGUCUGCAUGGAGCCGACCUUGAAAUACCACCCUUUAAUGUUUGAUGUUCUAACGUGGACCCGUGAUCCGGGUUGCGGACAGUGUCUGGUGGGUAGUUUGACUGGGGCGGUCUCCUCCUAAAGAGUAACGGAGGAGCACGAAGGUUGGCUAAUCCUGGUCGGACAUCAGGAGGUUAGUGCAAUGGCAUAAGCCAGCUUGACUGCGAGCGUGACGGCGCGAGCAGGUGCGAAAGCAGGUCAUAGUGAUCCGGUGGUUCUGAAUGGAAGGGCCAUCGCUCAACGGAUAAAAGGUACUCCGGGGAUAACAGGCUGAUACCGCCCAAGAGUUCAUAUCGACGGCGGUGUUUGGCACCUCGAUGUCGGCUCAUCACAUCCUGGGGCUGAAGUAGGUCCCAAGGGUAUGGCUGUUCGCCAUUUAAAGUGGUACGCGAGCUGGGUUUAGAACGUCGUGAGACAGUUCGGUCCCUAUCUGCCGUGGGCGCUGGAGAACUGAGGGGGGCUGCUCCUAGUACGAGAGGACCGGAGUGGACGCAUCACUGGUGUUCGGGUUGUCAUGCCAAUGGCACUGCCCGGUAGCUAAAUGCGGAAGAGAUAAGUGCUGAAAGCAUCUAAGCACGAAACUUGCCCCGAGAUGAGUUCUCCCUGAGACUUAGAGUCUCCUGAAGGAACGUUGAAGACGACGACGUUGAUAGGCCGGGUGUGUAAGCGCAGCGAUGCGUUGAGCUAACCGGUACUAAUGAACCGUGAGGCUUAACCUUACAACGCCGAAG
rnacentral:rRNA from 1 species